UACGAAGGGGGCUAGCGUUGUUCGGAAUUACUGGGCGUAAAGGGCGCGUAGGCGGCCUUCUAAGUCGGACGUGAAAUCCCUCGGCUUAACCGAGGAACUGCGUCCGAGACUGAAAGGCUUGAAUCCGGGAGAGGGAUGUGGAAUUCCAGGUGUAGCGGUGAAAUGCGUAGAUAUCUGGAGGAACACCGGUGGCGAAGGCGGCAUCCUGGACCGGCAUUGACGCUGAGGCGCGAAAGCUAGGGGAGCAAACGGG
rnacentral:rRNA from 1 species